rnacentral:SRP_RNA from 1 species
GCCGGGCACAGUGGCUUGUGCCUGUAAUCCAAGCGCCGGGGAGGCUGAGGCUGGCGGACGGCUUGAGCCUGGGAGUUCUGGGCUGCAGCGAGCUGUGCAGAGCGGGCGUCCGCGCUAAGGCCGGCAUCGAUAUGGUGGUCCUGGGGGAGCCUGGAGGCCACCAGGUCGCCUAAGGAGGGGUGAACCGGCCCAGGUCGGAGACGGAGCAGGUCAAAGCUCCCAUGCCGCUCGGUAGCGGGAUCGCGCCUGUGAACAGUCCCUGUAGCACAGCCCGGGCGAGAGAGCGGGACCCAGCCUCUU